AUUGAACGCUGGCGGCAUGCCUUACACAUGCAAGUCGAACGGCAGCACGGGUGCUUGCACCUGGUGGCGAGUGGCGAACGGGUGAGUAAUACAUCGGAACAUGUCCUGUAGUGGGGGAUAGCCCGGCGAAAGCCGGAUUAAUACCGCAUACGAUCCACGGAUGAAGGCGGGGGACCUUCGGGCCUCGCGCUAUAGGGUUGGCCGAUGGCUGAUUAGCUAGUUGGUGGGGUAAAGGCCUACCAAGGCGACGAUCAGUAGCUGGUCUGAGAGGACGACCAGCCACACUGGGACUGAGACACGGCCCAGACUCCUACGGGAGGCAGCAGUGGGGAAUUUUGGACAAUGGGCGAAAGCCUGAUCCAGCAAUGCCGCGUGUGUGAAGAAGGCCUUCGGGUUGUAAAGCACUUUUGUCCGGAAAGAAAUCCUUGACUCUAAUACAGUCGGGGGAUGACGGUACCGGAAGAAUAAGCACCGGCUAACUACGUG
rnacentral:rRNA from 1 species